UCCGUAGGUGAACCUGCGGAAGGAUCAUUACCUAGAGUUUGCAGACUUCGGUCUGCUACCCCUUACCCAUGUCUUUUGAGUACCUUCGUUUCCUCGGCGGGUCCGCCCGCCGAUUGGACAACAUUCAAACCCUUUGCAGUUGCAAUCAGCGUCUGAAAAAACAUAAUAGUUACAACUUUCAACAACGGAUCUCUUGGUUCUGGCAUCGAUGAAGAACGCAGUGAAAUGCGAUAAGUAGUGUGAAUUGCAGAAUUCAGUGAAUCAUCGAAUCUUUGAACGCACAUUGCGCCCCUUGGUAUUCCAUGGGGCAUGCCUGUUCGAGCGUCAUUUGUACCUUCAAGCUCUGCUUGGUGUUGGGUGUUUUGUCUCGCCUCCGCGUGUAGACUCGCCUUAAAACAAUUGGCAGCCGGCGUAUUGAUUUCGGAGCGCAGUACAUCUCGCGCUUUGCACUCAUAACGACGACGUCCAAAAGUACAUUUUUACACUCUUGACCUCGGAUCAGGUAGGGAUACCCGCUGAACUUAAGCAUAUCAAUAAGCGGAGG
rnacentral:rRNA from 1 species